CCUACGGGAGGCUGCAGUGGGGAAUAUUGGACAAUGGGGGCAACCCUGAUCCAGCAAUGCCGCGUGGGUGAUGAAGGCCUUCGGGUUGUAAAGCCCUUUUGGCGGGGACGAUGAUGACGGUACCCGCAGAAUAAGCCCCGGCUAACUUCGUGCCAGCAGCCGCGGUAAUACGAAGGGGGCUAGCGUUGUUCGGAAUUACUGGGCGUAAAGGGCGCGUAGGCGGUUUCGAUAGUCAGGCGUGAAAUCCCCGGGCUUAACCUGGGAAUUGCGCUUGAUACUGCGAGACUUGAGUGAGGGAGAGGAUAGUGGAAUUCCCAGUGUAGAGGUGAAAUUCGUAGAUAUUGGGAAGAACACCAGUGGCGAAGGCGGCUAUCUGGACCUCAACUGACGCUGAGGCGCGAAAGCGUGGGGAGCAAACAGGAUUAGAUACCCUGGUAGUC
rnacentral:rRNA from 1 species